rnacentral:rRNA from 1 species
GAUGAACGCUGGCGGCGUGCCUAAUACAUGCAAGUCGAGCGAACGGACGAGAAGCUUGCUUUUCUGAUGUUAGCGGCGGACGGGUGAGUAACACGUGGAUAACCUACCUAUAAGACUGGGAUAACUUCGGGAAACCGGAGCUAAUACCGGAUAAUAUUUUGAACCGCAUGGUUCAAAAGUGAAAGACGGUCUUUCUGUCACUUAUAGAUGGAUCCGCGCUGCAUUAGCUAGUUGGUAAGGUAACGGCCUACCAAGGCAACGAUGCAUAGCCGACCUGAGAGGGUGAUCGGCCACACUGGAACUGAGACACGGUCCAGACUCCUAUGGGAGGCAGCAGUAGGGAAUCUUCCGCAAUGGGCGAAAGCCUGACGGAGCAACGCCGCGUGAGUGAUGAAGGUCUUCGGAUCGUAAAACUCUGUUAUUAGGGAAGAACAUAUGUGUAAGUAACUGUGCACAUCUUGACGGUACCUAAUCAGAAAGCCACGGCUAACUACGUG